UUUGCAAAAAAAAUUUGCGUUUACACUUCACGGAACUAAACAGGGCCUGAAUCAUUAACAUUGUUGUGGUGUUGAAGCUUCCGGUAGUCAUUCGUUGUCAAAGAGCUUGUAUUAAUUCUCUUCAGUAGGUUUACUCUGAAACUUUAAAGAAUCUUGAAAGACUGCAGGUCAUCAGCAUCCAACUUUCCAACUCAUUUAUAACCAUCGAGACUUUUGAAGCUUAACAGGUCUUAUGUCUGGUUAAACAGAUCAUCCAUCUGGUUCACAGCAAUUUGUCACAGGUCAAACUGUCCAUCAAUAUGGAGAAUUACACCCAAUUCAAUUCGUUGUUCACCGUUUCACCACAUCAAGCUACCUACCAGCCUCGGAAAACCAGAAGGUGCUAGCCUAUCAGUAUAAAUCAUCAAUGACAACACAAAGUCCUACGGUGCAAGCAUUCAACUCUUGCCAAUUCCAGUCAUCGGCAGAACUGUUUCAAGGUCAGCUGCAAUUGCAACCCCAUACUAGCAGCCAUGUGGCCCUGGACCAGCAGAAAAAAUGCCAACAAAGUGGCCCUUCCUCUAGAGCUGUAUUUCUUCCAGCCACUGUACUUGGGAUGGUUGUGCAGCCUUGCAAGAAAUAAGGACACACAAGAUUCAUGCACACACCAAUCAUAUUCAGAACUGAGCUAAAGCAGACCUGAAAACAGUCAAUAGAGUAAUGUGAUAUUCACUUGGCUAUGUUGAUGCAAGAACUGCAGAUUGAAAAGUACCGGCGACUCGAAAGGAAUAAUGCUUCUCUUAACUAUGAAUGGAUGCUUCUUCCUCUGUACUGUGAAUGUGAUGGUUCGAUAAACUGGGGCUGCUUGACUUUCAUAUCAAACAGUGGCCCGAGAUAUAUCUUCCUGUACAUAAUUAAUUCGGAUGUUACUUAUGCUGUUGGUGUUGUCUUUGUAGUAUUUUUUUCUUCUGACCUAAUUUGAGAUUCUGCAAUGCAACUAGAGGCAAGAAUGACAAUAAACGUUUUGAACCAUUCCAAGAUCAGUCAACACUAUACAGCACCUGUCAAUGUUCAUCAGGACAAUUAGCUGUGUCAUCUGUUGCGAAGCGUCCAAUUUGCAAAGUCAAGAAUGCUGUUGCACAGACUACCUUCCCAGGAAUUUUGUAUAGGUACAAAAAGUGGACACUUGUUGCUUUCUGAGUUUAGAAUUUUGGGAAUGCUUUUGAGAUUUUUUGUUAUACGUUGGUUGGGCAGAAAGGUUUUAAAGGUUACUGAUACAUUAUUGAAGUGAUAUGACUGGCUAAAGUGAAGGACAAUUCAACUAGUAUUGCUGUGUACCUUUGUUUCAGAGCUGAAAUAAUAUGCUGGUCUUCCUGAAAAAAAAAGGCUGCAUGGAAUUUCAGUACUUGGUAGAAUAUUUGCCAUGUGUUAUUACACCCUAAAAAAAUCAACCGAUAUAUUUGCUUGAUGGUUCUACUA